rnacentral:tRNA from 1 species
GACAGCGUGUCCGAAUGGUAAGGAGGUGGAAUCGAAAUCCAUUAGGCUAUGCUGCGCAGGUUUGAAUCCUGCCGCUAUCG